rnacentral:lncRNA from 1 species
UGAUGGGUGCUUUUCUUUUAUUCCACACAAUUUAUUUGGAGCAUUUAGUGCCUAGUAACUUAAUAGGUUUUGUCCUUUGUUGGAUCAUGUUACCAAUCACUUUAAUAUGCUUUUUAAGUGUUUAUCAUGAUGCUCUACAUUGUGAUUCUUGGUUGGCUCUUUGUAUGAUUUUGUGGCAGGUUUGUGGUGGAUUAAAUGAGC